AUUGAACGCUGGCGGCAGGCCUAACACAUGCAAGUCGAGCGAGCGGCGGACGGGUGAGUAAUGUCUGGGGAACUGCCCGAUGGAGGGGGAUAACUACUGGAAACGGUAGCUAAUACCGCAUACCAUCAGAUGUGCCCAGAUGGGAUUAGCUAGUAGGUAGGGUAAUGGCUCACCUAGGCGACGAUCCCUAGCUGUUCUGAGAGGAUGACCAGCCACACUGGAACUGAGACACGGCCCAGACUCCUACGGGAGGCAGCAGUGGGGAAUAUUGCACAAUGGGCGCAGGCCUGAUGCAGCCAUGCCGCGUGUAUGAAGAAGGCCCUAGGGUUGUAAAGUACUUUCAGCGAGGAGGCGUUACUCACAGAAGAAGCACCGGCUAACUCCGUGCCAGCAGCCGCGGUAAUAC
rnacentral:rRNA from 1 species